ACUGUUGCGAACUGAGGCUGCUAUGUUGGAUGUAAACAGGGCUAGGAGGAGGAUGCCAAGCACCCACUGACCAUACUGUUCAAUGACUCCGACAUCUGGGCACAUGGCGAUCGUUGGCGAUACCCUAAUCUGAUUCCGGGGGAUUCUUUAUGAACUCACUUGAUCUCUUCAAAAUGGACCGGACGUGUAAAUUUAUCUUACAAAAACUUCUGAGAAUCUCUGUGAUAUAAUUAAGAAAUUAUGAGUGGUCGGCGAGUCGGGGGGAAGCCCUCCCCGGAAUACAACAUCGCACUGUUGGGAGACCUAGGGGUCGGGAAAUCAGAGGACACAUACACAAAACAUGAGGAUAUUGACGGGCAGGAACUGUCCAUUCACGUCAUGGACACCAGUGACAAGGAGGACAGCGACCCCCAGCGGUAUUUGCGCUGGGCCGACGCCUUCAUGGUGGUAUAUAGUAUCACGAACCGAGAGAGUUUCCAGACUGUCCGGAAAUACCUGGAGAACAUUACUCAGUAUAUAAAGGCAGUUGGAAAAGAGCUCCCUGUCGCCAUUGUUGGCAAUAAAAUUGACUUAGAGAGAUACAGGCAAAUCAGUAAAGAAGAGGGAGCAGCAUUAGCAACAGAGUUUGAAUGUCUGUUCUUUGAGACAACGGCAGCAGAGGAAUUUGAGUAUGUUGAGGACAUCUUUCACGGUCUUGUGCACGAGAUUCAGCGAGAACGAGGCGAGAAACACAUUCACUUUCAGCCUCUUUUUAUAACGGAGGAAAAGUUUCAGAGUGCUCAGAGAGGCGGACGGCCGAAGUCUCCUCGGUCUCCUGCAGACCGGAAGGACGAUAAAACCGGAAGCAAGAAAAAUAGUUCCAGUUUCAAAUUAUUUAACAAAAGCUUUAAAAUCUUUAAUUGAUUGUUAUUGUUUUAACUUUCUUUGAUCAGUAUGGUAUUUAUUUAUCUGCCAGAUAGUAUAAGCAAAUGCUGCAGAAUAAAUAUAGGUAUACUUACAUAUACAUUGUUUAUAUAUUUUGUAAUGAUACCAUUUCCAAGAGUACAUAUGUAUCAAAGAUAUUUUUGGCACCUUGGCAAUUCUAAGAAUUUGCAAUAUAUGUUCACACAUUAAAUUGUUACAUGUUUUAUUGUCACUGAGAUCAAUAUAUUUGUAAUAAACUAGUGUCGUUACAUUUUUGAAAUCCUUGUCAAAUUCGAUAUAGGAGGGUAUAUGAUUAAAUAUUUGUCUAAUUGUGCAUGUUAAUUUAAUUUAUUUAUCAAACAGAUAUCAUUUCAAAGUAUUUACAAAGCUACAUACAAUAUAAUUUUGCAUUCAGUACUACAUUGUUUUCUUUCUUGAGAAAUUGUGUAUUGUCAAUAAUUACGAUAGUAAAUUCUCUAGUAAGAACAUCUUUUAGUGCUUACUAUAAGUACUAAUGUCUUACUAUAAGUACUAAUGUCUUACUUUAAGUACUAAUGUCUUGGUUGUUUUUCACGCGCUCUCAUCAUUACAACUUUGUACUCGGAACUUCUUCACCUUCAAGUUUAUUCAUCAGUGUAUUCCAUUCUCUCAUAUAAUCCUGAGGGUGCUCUUUUAGAUGUGCCGCGUGUAUAGAUUUCUUCCAGGAGACGGACGUCACGUCCAGCUCUUUCUCUUUCCACUUGGUUAUCUCUUUCGUGACGUAGGAGGCAUCACACAUAGGGUCGUUCUCAGAAAAGACAACCAGUGUAGGGACCUUCACCACGCUCCCCCAGAAGUGGUUCACCAUUUGGUCGUAUACGUCUGUGGUUUUUUUCUUUGUGAGCUUGAAGAACGAGUCCAUGAGUACGUGUAACGGUUUCCUGAGGGGUCGUGGAACAGAUAAGCUUUCACAGAUUCCAGUGACCAUGUGGUCGUAGCUCCCCGCCACUACACUGUCAAAGACCUGACCCCGGAUGUUCUCCCGAAAGAAGCCAAACUCGCUGCUUUGGCUACUAGAGAUCAUGGAACACGUCGUAAAAUUGUAAGCACCAAUGGAGAAGGCAUGGACAAUAUAUUUGUCUUCCUUUGGAUUCCGCUUGUUUUUCAGAAAAGCAAGAAUCUCUUGCGAUAGCUUUACAGACACUGGCGGCCAAACAAAGGACGCCAUCUGCCCCUUUAUUGUCAGAACAUCAAAUCCAAGUUCAUGGUAAAGCAUACAGUACUUGUCAACAGCCUUACCAUUUGGAUAUAACCAUUCAUAGAACAAAACAAGGUCACGUGGUUUCUUUUCCGGGUAUUGGGCCACAGACCGUAAGGUCAGCUGUUUGCUGAGACGAUUUUUGUGAACUUUAACUUCCGGUGUGGCUUUGGUGGUGCUCGAAAGGUAAGCACAGCCGGGAAUCCGUGAAACACGUGACAUCGCUCCUCUGAAAAGGAGACCCAUUUUGGUAUGGAAGGUCUCGGUUCAGUUGUAAUCAAAUCAUGGUCCGUUGCAUAAAGUUUUGGUACACUCUAAUAAUACAAUAUACAUGUACACAUUUAUGUAGAAAUUCAUUAAUAAAAAACAAGUGCAUGUACAUGUAUUUCAAUGCAAAUGUGGGAGAUAUCACAAAUCUUAGCUUAUACUUCACGCCUACAAGACAAAAUAAAUCAUAUUCCAAAGGAAUAUUAUAU
rnacentral:misc_RNA from 1 species